AAAAUGUGCGCCAAAAGCAAAUAUACACUUGAAACGCUUCCUUCUAUCGAUAAAAUGUUGAACUACAACAAAAAAUGUUACGUAACAAUUAAAAUACCUUAAAAUAUUCGGACUGUCGUUUUUUCAUUUCUGGUUCAGGUCGGCUGGAAGUAACUUCUUCCACUGAAAACAAUUUCACAUCGAGGCAGUUUUGUGAGCUCGGCAUUAGUGUCCGAGGAAAAUGAGAGCUAAGUGGCGUAAAAAGAGGAUGCGCAGGCUCAAACGCAAACGCAGGAAGAUGCGAGCUCGUUCCAAGUAAAUAAACGAUUAAAAUCAUUAACCAUACGUAAAAAUCGGCAUCUAAUUGUGAAUCUAAUAUAUGCAUGAAAUAUUUUGUAUACUAGCAUAAUAAACCGAUGUUUAUAACUUAUGAUAAAUUACGUAUAUAUUAAUUAAUAUUAAUAUACUAUUAUUUAUUAUUUGUUUGACCAAAGUAUCUAAAUUAUGUAUGCAUG